CUAAUAGAGUGGUAUAAAUCAAAUGCUAUUGGUAUACAAAAGGACAAAUUUUGUCAGCCAAGUGUAUGGGUAUCUUCAAAGAGCACAGGUGCCAUCUGUUCUGAGCUAAUGACCCAUUGAAGAAGGCCACACCAAAUUUGGGGGAAAAGCAGCAUAAACAAAUGCCAGAGUAUUUUCCAGGCAGGUUGUAUUUGGAGAAUCUCCUAAUGUUGUAUAUUUAAUUUGUCCUUUGUCCAAGAAUAAUGCAAUGAACUAGGCAACUAGUUGAAUAAAAAUUGAAACCAAGUUCAAACAAGCCUAUUGAAAAAUGGGCAAAAGACUGGAAAAACAUGGCCAAUAAGCGUAAGAAGAGAUGUUCAGCUUGAUCAGUCAUCAAGAAACUACAAAUCAAGACCACACUGAGGCUGGGUGUGGUGGCUCAUGCCUGUAAUCCCAGCACUUUGGGAGGCUGAAGUGGGCAAAUCACUUGGACAGGAGUUCAAGACCAGCCUGGGCAACAUGGUGAAACCCUGUCUCUACUAAAAAUACAAAAAGUUAGCUGGGCAUGGUGGUACACACCUGUAAUCCCUGUUACUCGGGGGCUGAGGCACAAGAAUCACUUGAACUCUGGAGAGAGAGGUUGCAGUGAGCCGACAUCAGCCACUGCACUCAAGACUCUCGAUCUCUCUCUCUCAAAAAAAAAAAAAAAAGACCACAAUGAAAUACAACUUUGGACUCAGUAGACUGACAAAAAUUAACAAAUGUUACACAGAAUCUCUUAUAUUGCUGGUAGGAGUAUAAAUUGUUUCAAUUAUUUUUGAAACUAAGGGUUUGCAUUAUCUUGUGAAGUUUAAGAUAGAUUCACAUAUAUGCUCAAGCAGCAAUUCCACCUCUGGGUAUUUACCUAAAGGAAAUGAUAGCAUGAAUGCCCCAGGAGACAUGGUCAUUAAAGUUCUUAGUAGAACUGCUCACAAUAGCAACAACAAACCAAAUGCCCAUUGACGAGAGUGGAUGAAUAAAUUACAGUGAAAUAUUUUGCAGUCAAAAUUAACAGAUAAAUCCAAUAUGACUUAACAGUGGUUUACAGCGAAUGUUUUGUUUCUCUGCUGACACAUCAAUACUUGUGUCUUCAUAUGUUUAGCAUUUUUAUUCUGAACUUAUAUGUGGUUGAAGGUCAUCUGUGGGAGUCAGAAACUAAAUUGAGCAUGCUGCCUCCAGAGAGAAUUAGCAUUUGCUUGUUUUUUUCGGGUAACAUACUGCUAUGGACUGGGGCCACUUUAGCCCUGUUUGAGUAUCCUAGGCUAUUAGUAGAGUCAACUUUUACUUCUUACAGCUUAUUCCCAAGGCUUAUUCUCCAGUGUAACCCUAGAUUUAUUUUUUAUUAUUUUUAUCUUUUUUAAGAUUCAAGGGAUACACAUGCAGGUUUGUUACAUGAGUAUUGCAUAAUGCUGAGGUUCAGGCUUCUGAUGACCCCAUCACCCAAGUAGCAAACAUAGUACCCGAUAGGUAGUUUUUUAGUUUUUCAACCCUUGCCCCACUCCCUCCCUUCCCAUGAAUCCCCAGUGUUAGAAAUGCUUGUUCCCCAGUGCCGUAAAGAAAUAGCACUUGAACAUAAAUUUAAUUUCUUCAGCAAGGCCAUUUUUACUUUCUGCAGAAAGGGUACACUCACUAGCAGUUUUGUCACCAGAGUACACAGAACAAAGGAGACAGGGUCAUUUAUAACCUGAUGCGUCCACACUACUGCUGUGUCUGAUUUCCACUGGCUGGAACGGGACCUCACAUUCUGUAUUUGUCCUGAUUGGCUAGCAACUUAGAACCUUUUAAAAGAGGCAAAGGCAGAGGAGAACAAAGGAAGGAGGAAGUAACUUGUGGAAUGCUGAGAAAGGUAAAAACACCUUCAAAUAAGGAAGAGGAACAGGCUAUGACCUAAUGCUUGCUUGGACCAGUAUAAGCAUGCCAGGGCAAAUAUUUAGGCUAAAUUGUGGGAGAUAACAUAAAGUACAUUGAUUUCUUUAUUACAGAUAGCAGAUAUUUAAGAAUGUUGGCACAGGUCUUUGAAUAAAUUUUGCUUCUAAGGAAAGUUACUGUUUAUUCCUAAUUAGAUGGGGAAGAAAGUCUUUGAAGAGGAACGUCUACUUUUUUUUUUUACACCAGUGUCUAUUGUUCCUAUCUUUGUGUCCAUGUGUACACAAUGUUGAGUUCCAACUUACAAGUGAGGACAUGCAGUAUUUGUUUUUCUAUUUCUGCAUUAAUUUGAUUAGGCUAAUGGCCUCCAGCUACAUCCAUGUUGCUGCAAAGGACAGGAUUUCAUUCUUUUUAAUGGCUGUAUAGUAUUCCGUGGUGUAUAUGUACCACAUUUUCUUUAUCUAGUCCACCAUUGAUGGGUACCUGGGUUGAUUCCAUGCCUUUGCUAUUGUGAAUGGUGUUGUGGUAAACAUGAGUGCAGGUGUCUUUUUGGUAGAACGAUUUAUUUUCCUCUGAGUAUAUACCCAGUAUGGGAUUGCUGGGUAAAUAAUAAUUCCAUUUUUAGCUCUUUGAGAAAUCUCCAAACAGCUUUCCACAUAGGCUGAACUAAUUUGCAUUCCCACCAACAGUGUGUAAUUGUUCCCAUUUCUCAACCCUGGAAGGGUUAUUCAGAUAGUGUUUGCCAGACUGCUGGAAGUGUAUUUCACUAACUAUAGUUUGAUUCAUAUGUCUUCCGUGACUUAUCUGUAAAUUCCUUGAAAGAAGGAACUUCUGACCUAAAAUUUUGAAUAAAACAUUAAAGUUUUAGGGAAAUUUGGCUGGGUGCAGUAGCUCAUGCCUGUAAUCUCAGCACUUUGGGAGGCCAAGGUGGGAGGAUUGCUUGAGCCCAGAAGUUCAAGAACAGCAUGGGCAACAUAGUGAGACCGCCAUCUCAAAAAUAACAAAUAAAAUAAAGUUUUGGGGAAAAUUCUUAUAUAUUUAGAUACUAUGGUAACGUUUUAAUAAAAUAAACUGAGUUGCUUUUCAUGUAUUUCUGUUUUCUAAAAAUUAUGUGCUAUAUUAAUUACCUGUUCCUGCCCUGGAGAUGAUGUUUGGUUAUAUUUUCAGGUUCUUUCACUAUUUUUAUUUUUGUCUGUUUGGACUUACAACUUUUAUCUAUGUUAAAUCUGGUAUUUAUACUUCCCUUUAAAGCCAUAUAUUUUAUCAAAAAAUUAUUAGAGAAAAUUUAUACUCACAUGGUAUUUUCUAAUAUUAAAAACUCCUUAAAAAAACUCAUGUCUGUCACCUUGCUCAUUUCCUUUUUUUAUUUUUUGAGACAGAGUUUCCCUAUUGUCACCCAGGAUGGAGCUGCAGUGAGCCACUGCACUCUAGCCUGGGUGACAAGGCAAGACCCUGUCUCAAAAAUUAAAUUAAUUAAAUAACACCAUAAUUUAUGGGUGUGUAUUUAUUUAUAGCUUUAGCCACAUAUAAACUCUUAAAAUGUUAUAGUGUAUUUUAUUACUUCUAAGUAACCUAUGAUUUUAUUUUUACUUCAUCUUAACUCACUUAUUGAAGAGGUUAAUAUUUUAGGUAGUUGAAAUGUUUUCCUGUUUUAAUUGUCAGUAUUAAUUUCUAGUUAUAAAUUUGGACUAAAGAAUGUGACCUGAGCAAUUUCUUCAUUUUGGAUAUUACUGAAGUUUUAUUUGUGACCAAUAUUUGAAACCAUUUCAUGGUUCCUGAACAAGAAAGCAUGGUAUGUGCUUCAAAAUACAACAUUCAACUUAUAGCUGUAUUCAGUGUUGUUAAUUGUAUUUUGAAAGUAAAAACUAACCAUUGGUUUUUGUCUACCUGAUAUAUAUGUGCCUGAUAGUAUCUUGUUGUCCCCUGCUAUGUUUUUGUUUCUGUCAAUGUAUCAUAUUUUAAAUCAUAGUUAUUUUAUAAAAUGUGAUUGUGAGUUAUUAUUUAAACCAUGCCUUCUUUAGAGGUUGGACCUUUUAUCAGUGUGAAUAACUCUUUUUGUCCCUUGGAUAUCAAUUAAAUUGAAUUCUAAUUUUUUUUUUUAACCUUACCUCAGGUGCUGUUUGGCUCCUGCAGCCAAAUACACUGAUGAUUUAAUUAAAAUGUUUAUCUCCCCCAAAUUUUAAGAACUUUAUUUGGGUUAUUUGGAAUAAUGUAUAAAAUAUCUAUAUAGAUUAUUAUAUAAUUCAGGGGGAAGCAAAUUAUCAGAACAAUUUCAUGUUAUACAAAUAACAUCAGAAAAAUAUCUUAAAUUAUAUGGCAUAUUCUAUUGAUUCAUCCACAAAUUUAUAAGUCCUUACCACCUUUCAUUAUAUUGGUACUAGGCAUUAUAGUAGUGCUAGGCACUAUAGUAAUGCUGGGGUAUAAACAAGAAUAAAACAAAAUAAGUUCCUUAUUUCAGGUAACUUACAGUAUAGGUCAGUGGUUCUUAGCUUGCUUUUUAAUUAUGAAUUCCUUUGAAAGUCUAGUAAAAUAAUCCAACACCAUUAUUCCCCAUUGCACAUACCCCCAGAUGUUUUAGACAUAUUUUCAAUUGCUCCAUGGACCUUAAGAAAACUUGGUUGGUGUGCAGUUUGGUGUAUUAUGGGUAAGACUGGACCUGGUGUUAGAAAAUCUGCAUUUGAGGCUUUGUUCUGACAGUGUCUAGUGUAAACAUGGGCAGACCACUUAAACCUCUCUUUAGUCUUCUCUGUAGAAUGAUGAUAAUACCAUCUAAUUAGCAGGAUUGUUGUUUUAUUCAGUGAGACAGCAUAUGUAAAUAACUUAGUAAAAUAAAAAGCAACGUGUUUAUAA
rnacentral:lncRNA from 10 species